UCAUCAUGGUUUCCUUUUGAUGAGCAAGAAUUCUAUAAGGUUGCUUAUGUUUGGCAAGUUUUAGACAGCUUGGUAGGAGCUUCGUUUGUUACCUACACAGACAUACUUAUGUUCAACAUAAUUGUAUUCCCGAUUGGACAAAUUAAAAAGUUGCAACAUUGCUUGAAAAAUUUUGAAAUUUACAAAGAAAAGCACAAAAUAUUAUACAAUAUUACAGAUGAUGAAAAGGAUGGAGAAGCAACUUUUAUUGAAUUCGUUUUCAGACAUCGUCAAAUUAUCGAUUGAGACUAUACAAAGGGUUUAUAAUAUUGAAUAUGCAUUUUUAUAUACCUUUAGUUAUGUGACCUAUUUUAAUGAUGCGAUGGGCGCAUCGAUGGUAUUUGAUUUUUUCCAAAGUUCCUUCCAAAUCGCUGCCAUUUUAACCCAGGUUUUAGGGAACCAAAUUACAUGGGUAAUGUUUGUUUUCGUGAGCACUUUCUUUGUCAGCAUGGUUUUUCGAUUGAUUCUCUACUAUUACCAUGCCAAUGAUGUGAUGUAUUUGAGCCAACGCUUAUCGUACUCAAUUUGGGAAGCAAACUGGUUUGAGCAACCGAAUAGAUUAAAGCGGAUGAUAUUAAUGUUCAUCUUGAGGACUCAGAAACCUCUCACUUAUCGAAUUGGAAUUUUUAGUGUUAUGACUUUGCAGUCUUGC
rnacentral:lncRNA from 1 species